rnacentral:rRNA from 1 species
UACGUAGGGGGCAAGCGUUGUCCGGAAUCAUUGGGCGUAAAGAGCGUGUAGGCGGCCAGGUAGGUCUGCUGUGAAAACUCGAGGCUCAACCUCGAGACGUCGGCGGAAACCAUCUGGCUAGAGUCCGGAAGAGGAGAGUGGAAUUCCUGGUGUAGCGGUGAAAUGCGCAGAUAUCAGGAAGAACACCCGUGGCGAAGGCGGCUCUCUGGGACGGCACUGACGCUGAGACGCGAAAGCGUGGGGAGCGAACAGG